rnacentral:rRNA from 1 species
CAGUCGAGCGGUAACAGAUCUAGCUUGCUACACGCUGACGAGCGGCGGACGGGUGAGUAAUGCAUAGGAAUCUGCCCGAUAGUGGGGGAUAACCUGGGGAAACCCAGGCUAAUACCGCAUACGUCCUACGGGAGAAAGGGGGCUUCGGCUCCCGCUAUUGGAUGAGCCUAUGUCGGAUUAGCUAGUUGGUAAGGUAAUGGCUUACCAAGGCAACGAUCCGUAGCUGGUCUGAGAGGAUGAUCAGCCACAUCGGGACUGAGACACGGCCCGAACUCCUACGGGAGGCAGCAGUGGGGAAUAUUGGACAAUGGGGGCAACCCUGAUCCAGCCAUGCCGCGUGUGUGAAGAAGGCCCUCGGGUUGUAAAGCACUUUCAGCGAGGAAGAACGCCUAUCGGUUAAUACCCGGUAGGAAAGACAUCACUCGCAGAAGAAGCACCGGCUAACUCCGUGCCAGCAGCCGCGGUAAUACGGAGGGUGCAAGCGUUAAUCGGAAUUACUGGGCGUAAAGCGCGCGUAGGUGGCUUGAUAAGCCGGUUGUGAAAGCCCCGGGCUCAACCUGGGAACGGCAUCCGGAACUGUCAGGCUAGAGUGCAGGAGAGGAAGGUAGAAUUCCCGGUGUAGCGGUGAAAUGCGUAGAGAUCGGGAGGAAUACCAGUGGCGAAGGCGGCCUUCUGGACUGACACUGACACUGAGGUGCGAAAGCGUGGGUAGCAAACAGGAUUAGAUACCCUGGUAGUCCACGCCGUAAACGAUGUCGACCAGCCGUUGGGUGCCUAGAGCACUUUGUGGCGAAGUUAAC